rnacentral:rRNA from 1 species
UACGGAGGGGGCAAGCGUUGUUCGGAAUUACUGGGCGUAAAGGGCGCGCAGGCGGCUGCUCAAGUCAGGCGUGAAAGGCCUGGGCUCAACCCGGGAAUUGCGCUUGAGACUGGCAUGCUCGAGUUCGGGAGAGGAUGGUGGAAUUCCCAGUGUAGAGGUGAAAUUCGUAGAUAUUGGGAAGAACACCGAUGGCGAAGGCAGCCAUCUGGACCGACACUGACGCUGAGGCGCGAA